AUGCAAGUCGAGCGGCAGCGCGGGGCAACCUGGCGGCGAGCGGCGAACGGGUGAGUAAUACAUCGGAACAUGUCCAGUCGUGGGGGAUAGCCCGCCGAAAGGCGGAUUAAUACCGCAUACGCCCGAGAGGGGAAAGCGGGGGACCGUAAGGCCUCGCGCGAUUGGGUUGGCCGAUGUCCGAUUAGCUUGUUGGUGAGGUAAAAGCUCACCAAGGCGAUGAUCGGUAGCUGGUCUGAGAGGAUGAUCAGCCACACUGGGACUGAGACACGGCCCAGACUCCUACGGGAGGCAGCAGUGGGGAAUUUUGGACAAUGGGGGCAACCCUGAUCCAGCCAUUCCGCGUGAGUGAAGAAGGCCUUCGGGUUGUAAAGCUCUUUUGUCCGGAACGAAACGGUGCAGGUGAAUAUCCUGCGCUACUGACGGUACCGGAAGAAUAAGCACCGGCUAACUACGUGCCAGCAGCCGCGGUAAUACGUAGGGUGCAAGCGUUAAUCGGAAUUACUGGGCGUAAAGCGUGCGCAGGCGGUUUUGUAAGCCAGAUGUGAAAUCCCCGGGCUUAACCUGGGAAUGGCAUUUGGGACUGCAAGGCUUGAGUACGGCAGAGGGGACUAGAAUUCCUGGUGUAGCAGUGAAAUGCGUAGAUAUCAGGAGGAAUACCGAUGGCGAAGGCAGGUCCCUGGGCUGGUACUGACGCUCAUGCACGAAAGCGUGGGGAGCAAACAGGA
rnacentral:rRNA from 1 species